rnacentral:tRNA from 1 species
GAGGGAGGGUUAAACCAACAGGAACUGCUAACUCCUGCAUCUGAGUAUAAAAACCUCAGCCCCCUU